AUUUUUCCCUGUGAUGUACAAAGUUCUUAAACAGGAAGUGGUUUUAAUGCUGGAUUUGCUCUGAGCAGACAGAACCUUCACCUCUGCCUUCAGUGUGAGCUGACGUUCACAAAGGAGUGUGUGCAGUCGUGUGGUGUGGAAGCGUGAAAUCAACACACCUGUCAGACAAAUGAAAAACAUUUUCCUCUUUUUACAGUCUGACAGACGGGAGCUGCUUCCAGCUGAGCGCUGACCUACUGAACUCAUUCCUGACACGUCUCUUCCCUCCAAACUGAAGAAUAAGUGCAGCUUUCCACAGACAAACAUCUGCACACAGAGAGAUGUAGUUAAAGCUACGGUAAUAGUUAUUUAUUGUAAUUAGCCCAGCUGCUGUAGCGGAGCAGCGACAGAGGAAAGGAGCCGGUGGAGACCAAAAACAGAGCUAAAAGAGAGAACACUGGAUUUACAUCCACCGUCGAUCUGAACUCUGCAGCAGGAGACAACUUCAGGUUUGACUCUAAAAACCUGACACAGAGCUACUCACUGCUUUUCAUCUCUCUGAAUCUUUGCAGUCACGCGUCAGUUCACUUCGAGAUCAAUCGGACCACUUUGAAAAAUCUGCAAAUCUGAGUGUUUGCACUGUGCGCCGGUCAUUGAAAGCAGUAAGUAAAAUUUAUUUGUAUGGCACUUUUUAAGAAGGGAAUCUAUUACAAAGUGCUUUACAGGGAAUUUAAAGACAUCAGACAGAACAACACAUUACACAAGAACCCGUCUGAAUAGAGGAGUUUUCAGCUGGUUUUUAAAAGAAGCCACAGAGUCAAUGGUGCGUAGAGGGGGAGGUCAACUGGUCCACAGUUUUGGUGCUACGGUUUGGAAAGCAUGAUUCCUGUUUUGUUUUCAAAUAGGUCCGUGCAAUAGGAUGAAGAAACUCGAUGAUAUAAGCACAUAGUGCACACUGUGGGAAUUUACGACUGUGCGUGAAUCCCCCCCUGAUAUUGGUAUGAUCCGAGCUCAGGCACUAAGCGACUGAGCGAGAGGGCGGGGCAGCUGCUGCCCGUGAGUGCGCUGUUGGAGAAACAGAGCCAGCCAUACUAAGGAGAGCUUAAGUUUGACCAGUUCUUACCCUCCCCGACUAAAUCGGUUUCAGUUAUGCACUGAAAUAUAAGAAUGGACAUUCGAGGCUUCUUUCAAAGAAAAAACUCAG
ensembl:lncRNA